rnacentral:rRNA from 1 species
GCCAGACUCCUACGGGAGGCAGCAGUGGGGGAUAUUGCACAAUGGGGGGAACCCUGAUGCAGCGACGCCGCGUGGGUGAAGGAGCGUUUCGGCGCGUAAAGCCCUAUCGGCAGGGAAGAAGGAGGACGGUACCUGACUAAGAAGCCCCGGCUAACUACGUGCCAGCAGCCGCGGUAAUACGUAGGGGGCAAGCGUUAUCCGGAUUUACUGGGUGUAAAGGGCGUGUAGCCGGGCUGACAAGUCAGAUGUGAAAUUCCGGGGCUCAACCCCGGACCUGCAUUUGAAACUGUUGGUCUUGAGUAUCGGAGAGGCAGGCGGAAUUCCUAGUGUAGCGGUGAAAUGCGUAGAUAUUAGGAGGAACACCAGUGGCGAAGGCGGCCUGCUGGGCUUUUACUGACGCUGAGGCUCGAAAGCGUGGUUAGCAAACAGGAUUAGAUACCCUAGUAA